AAGACUAAGAAUCUUCUCAAGGUA
rnacentral:tRNA from 1 species